AUGAUGCGCUGUAGGAGAGAAUGGCUGCUCGCGCCGUGCGUCAUCUCCGUGCUGCUGUUGGCACCAAUCCUCUGCGAAGGAUUGUUCUUUGGCGCAAGCGAGGUGUCGCCGCCUGCGCUGACGCCACCCUUCAUCAAGCAAUCAGGCGAACGGGGAAUACCGCAGGCUGUUGGCGUCGUUUGGCCGGUCGCCUUCCUCCUCACAUCAAUGACAUUGGUUUUGCUUAUCAAGUUCUUCUCCGAGUCAAAAUAUGGAUUCAACGACCGUCAAUUCCACGGUUCAUUGGAUGAUCAACCACGGUCGGUACACUCUCUAAGCAUCACGGUGUCGUUUGUAGAGAUUGUCAAAUCCAUUGGCAUCUUGCCAUACAACACCGGGUACCUCAAAGUGUUACUCCUCUUCAUCCUUGCACCAACUACGGCGUCUUCCACCGGCUGCCCCUCCCCAACCUUCGACGGAGCACUUGAGUUCCCGUUGUUUCACAGGGACCAUCCAUGCGUCCAGCAACACCUCGGCAAUACGAGGUCAUCUGGAAACAUCGUUGAGAUGGACCUGCCGCUGCCGAUUGACUUGAUACAGAAUGACGAUAUAAGCAACUUCCUCUUUCUGAUGCCCAUCAAGCUGGGCACGCCACCGGUCUGGAAUCUUGUGGCAGUUGACACUGGAGCCUCACUUUCUUUUGUUCAGUGCCAACCAUGCACUCUCCGGUGCCACAAGCAAUCUGAUGCCGGGGAAAUAUAUGAUCCUAGCAAGUCGGAGAGUUUCAGUCAUGUUGGGUGCUCAGAAGAGAGCUGCCGCACGGUCCAACGGGCGCUUCGUCUCCAAUCCAAAGCAUGCAUGGAGAAAGAGAACAGUUGCCUCUACAGUAUGACGUUCGGAGGAACAUCUUCAUAUUCCGUCGGCAAGCUAGCGAGGGACAGGCUCGCAAUCGGGCAGUAUGCCAAGGGAUACAGCUUCCCUGAUUUCCUCUUCGGAUGCAGCUUGGACACGGAGUAUCAUCAAUAUGAGGCUGGCCUAGUCGGAUUCGCUGACGAGCCGUUUUCAUUUUUUGAACAAGUGGCACAUCUGGUCAACUACAAGGCCUUUAGCUACUGCUUUCCAAGCGACAGAAGGAAGACGGGGUACCUGUCCAUUGGGGAUUACCCCCAUGUCAACUCCACAUCCUAUACUCCCUUGUUCCUGGCUCGGCAACGAUCACAUUAUGCACUUAAGCUGGAUGAAGUGGUUGUCAAUGGGAUCGCGCUGGUCACAACCCCCUCAGAAAUGAUUGUAGACUCCGGGUCCAGAUGGACAUCACUGCUGUCCGAUACCUUCAACCAACUUGACGCAACAAUCACCAAGGCUCUGCAACCUCUGGGAUAUAAUCGCAGCUAUUAUAGGGGAUCAGAUUAUAUCUGCUUUGAGGACGCGCACUUUCAACAGUUUAGCAAUUGGGCCGCUUUACCAGCAGUGGAGCUGAAGUUCGACAUGGGCGUUACACUGACUCUACAACCCCAGAGCUCGUUCCAUUUUCACAACGACUAUGGACUGUGCACAUACUUCAUGAGGGAUGCCAGUCUGGGAAGUGGUGUGCAGAUACUAGGAAACACGAUGACACGGUCUGUUGGCAUCACAUUUGAUAUCCGAGGGGGUCAAUUUGCGCUCCGCAAGGGAGACUGCUGA
rnacentral:rRNA from 1 species